rnacentral:rRNA from 1 species
UACGGAGGGUGCAAGCGUUAUCCGGAUUCACUGGGGUUAAAGGGUGCGUAGGUGGGUCUGUAAGUCAGUGGUGAAAUCUCCGGGCUUAACCCGGAAACUGCCAUUGAUACUAUAGGUCUUGAAUUUUCUGGAGGUCAGCGGAAUAUGUCAUGUAGCGGUGAAAUGCUUAGAUAUGACAUAGAACACCGAUUGCGAAGGCAGCUGACUACAGGAACAUUGACACUGAGGCACGAAAGCGUGGGGAUCAAACAGG